rnacentral:rRNA from 1 species
GUGGGGAAUAUUGCGCAAUGGGCGAAAGCCUGACGCAGCGACGCCGCGUGAGGGACGACGGCCUUCGGGUUGUAAACCUCUUUCAGCAGGGACGAAGCGAAAGUGACUGUACCUGCAGAAGAAGCACCGGCUAACUACGUGCCAGCAGCCGCGGUAAUACGUAGGGUGCAAGCGUUGUCCGGAAUUAUUGGGCGUAAAGAGCUCGUAGGCGGUCUGUCACGUCGGAUGUGAAAACUUGGGGCUCAACUCCAAGCCUGCAUUCGAUACGGGCAGACUAGAGUUCGGUAGGGGAGACUGGAAUUCCUGGUGUAGCGGUGAAAUGCGCAGAUAUCAGGAGGAACACCGAUGGCGAAGGCAGGUCUCUGGGCCGACACUGACGCUGAGGAGCGAAAGCGUGGGGAGCGAACAGGAUUAGAUACCCUGGUAGUCC